UAGGUGGCAAGCGUUGUCCGGAAUUACUGGGUGUAAAGGGAGCGUAGGCGGGAAGCCAAGUCAGCUGUGAAAACUACGGGCUUAAACUGUAGACUGCAGUUGAAACUGGUUUUCUUGAGUGAAGUAGAGGUUGGCGGAAUUCCGAGUGUAGCGGUGAAAUGCGUAGAUAUUCGGAGGAACACCGGUGGCGAAGGCGGCCAACUGGGCUUUAACUGACGCUGAGGCUCGAAAGUGUGGGGAGCAAA
rnacentral:rRNA from 1 species